AAGAAGAAGAAGAAGAGUUUGGAUUUGAUAUCCCGCCUUUAAGGAGUCUCAAAGCGGCUAACAUUCUCCUUUCCCUUCCUCCCCCACAACAAACACUCUGUGAGGUGAGUGGGGCUGAGAGACUUCAGAGAAGUGUGACUGGCCCAAGGUCACCCAGCAGCUGCAUGUGGAGGAGCGGGGAAGCGAACCCGGUUCCCCAGAUUACGAGUCCACCGCUCUUAACCAC
rnacentral:lncRNA from 1 species